CCUGUAAAUGCACAUUGAACAGGUGUAAUGAACGCAUGUAAAAUUGCCCAUAACAAGUGUUCAAAUCGCCUGUAAACACACACUGGAUAGGUGAAAAAAUCUUGUGUACAAAAAAUGACAUUUGACACAUGAAAAAAGCAAGUGAAAAAUGAUAAUUACAAGUGUUAAGACGAGUUCCGGGCAAGACAAUUGGAAAUUCUUGGCCUUCCAUAGUUUAGAGGCACACCCUCUCAUCACCCUCUCAUCAACAAUUCGUUCACGGAUCAAUGCAAUUGCACAAAGAAAGACUCAUCUGGGUCUAAACUUCAAAUUCUAAAGUGUCAAGUCAACAUGACAGUCUGCACAAGCACUUCAAUUUAACCACUCAAAUGACAGCCCAGUCUUCAAAGACAGUGCUGUCCCUGAACUCUGAGGCGGUGUUCUCACUCAAAGAUGGCAUCAACUUUAAGAAGAGCCCAGAUGAUGGCAAGUGCUACAUCAUAUACAAAGAAAAUGGAGAGCUGAAGGCCUGCAAGAACCAAUGCAAACACCAAGGAGGCCUGUUCAUCAAAGACAUAGAGGACUUAGAUGGAAGGACGGUCCGAUGUACAAAACACUACUGGAAGCUGAACGUCUCAACUAUGCAGUAUGUGAACCCUCCCGACAGCUUCACACAGGAUGAGCUGGACGUCGUGAUGACAGACGAGGGUGGUCUUCAGCUCGUGGAGGUGAUCGUCUGGGACCCCUGGUUGGCAGACCCCCAGGAUCCACAGGAACUGCAGGAGGGAGAGGUGACUGUGACCUACCUCACCCAUGCAUGCAUGGAGCUCCAGCUAGGGGGGAAGAAGAUGAUAUUCGACCCCUGGCUGACGGGUCCGGCCUUCGCCAGGGGCUGGUGGCUGCUCCACGAGCCCCCUGCUGACUCCAUGGAGAGGCUGUGCAUGGCCGACCUCAUCUACAUCAGCCACAUGCACUCUGACCACCUCAGCUACCCAACCUUAAAAUCCCUCUCUGCGACGAGACCGGAUGUUCCUAUUUAUGUUGGCGACACAUCAAGGCCAGUGUUCUGGAUGCUGGAGAAAAGUCAGGUGCAGCUGACAAAUAUCAACAUAGUUCCCUUUGGCAUUUGGCAAAACAUUGAUGAGCACCUCAGAUUCAUGAUUCUGAAGGAUGAAGUGCACCCCGAAAUGGACACCUGUAUCAUUGUUGAAUAUAAAGGUCAUAUGAUCCUCAACACGGUGGACUGCACCAGGCCAAACUACGGCCGACUGCCCCACAAUGUAGACCUGAUGAUGAGUGACUUUGCUGGGGGGGCGUCUGGCUUCCCCAUGACCUUCAGUGGAGGAAAAUACACAGAGAGCUGGAAAGCCGAUUUCAUCAAGAAUGAAAGGAAGAAGCUCAUGAACUACAAGGCCCAGCUGGUAAAGUCCUUGCAGCCCAAGAUCUACUGCCCGUUUGCCGGUUACUUUGUCGAAGCACAUCCCUCAGACAGGUACAUUAAGGAAACUAACACGAAAAACAACGCGGAGCAGCUCAAUGCCCUGAUCAAGAAGAGCGCUCCAGGCAUAACAACAUGGACACCCAAGCCAGGCGCUGUGCUCGAUCUGGCCCUGGCUCUGAUGAGCCCCAGCCGGAAAGCCAUCACCGACCCUCCGUCCGGGACAAACAUCUAUAAGGACAGUUGGGACUUUGAUUUGUACGUGGAUGAACUGAACAGGGCCAUCACCGCUGAGAUAUUUAAACAUAAAAGCUGGAUCCAAUUUUAUUACAUCUGGGCAGGGUUUAAAAACUACGAUCUAGUUGUCCGGGUCAUUGAGACAGAUGAGGACUUCAUUCCGAUAGACAAUGGCUACAACUAUCUAGUGGACUUCAUGGAUCUCUCCUUCCCUACUCAGAGGCCCACUAGAGAGCACCCUUAUGAGGAGAUCAAGAACAGGAUCGGAGUCAUGAGGCACGUGGUGAAGAACGGCCUUCUUUGGGACAACCUGUAUAUUGGCUUCCAGAACCGUCUGAGCAGAGAGCCAGACGUCUACCACCACCAGUAAGCCCUCGUCUCCUUUGCUUCCUUCCUCCCUUACCAGAUGUCUACCACCACCGGUAAGCCCUCGUCUCCUCACCUUCCCUCCUUUGCUUCCUUACUCCCUUACCAGACGUCUACCACCACCGGUUCUGGAACCACUUCCAGACAGAGUUGCCAGUCACUGGGCCGGACUGGGACUUGUUCCUGCAGCAGGUGCCAUCACACCAGAGGUCUGCUGAACCCCAGGGAAUCCAAACAGAAAGUGGCUCUGCUUCUACAUUGUCUUAGAAAAAGCAGGCUAUACUGUCACAUCAGAACCAAGCUUUGUGUAUCCAAUAAUGAAUAAGAAGGGCUGCUCUCCCUGUCACUGUAGGCACCACCAACCUCCCUGUGCUACUGAAACAGGGAAAAAGGGACGAGGCUGACGAUAUUUAAUUUCCAAAUUGGUUCAUUUACGGUUCAUUUUUUGUAUUUUUUUCAUGUAAUGGUGAAAUCUAUUAGCAUAGCGUCUAUUGUUGUUUGGCAGGUCUGUAUGUAGGGGACUAGUACCGAAAGGUAGGAAAAUAUAUGCACUCACUACUAUGUCACUCUGGAUAAGAACAUCUGCUAAAUGACUAACAUGUAGAAUGUAAAUGUGAAUAAACUUUGUAUCAUUGAU